UGGGGAAUAUUGGACAAUGGGCGCAAGCCUGAUCCAGCCAUGCCGCGUGAGUGAUGAAGGCCCUAGGGUUGUAAAGCUCUUUCACCGGUGAAGAUAAUGACGGUAACCGGAGAAGAAGCCCCGGCUAAGUUCGUGCCAGCAGCCGCGGUAAUACGAAGGGGGCUAGCGUUGUUCGGAUUUACUGGGCGUAAAGCGCACGUAGGCGGACUUUUAAGUCAGGGGUGAAAUCCCGGGGCUCAACCCCGGAACUGCCUUUGAUACUGGAAGUCUUGAGUAUGGUAGCGGUGAGUGGAAUUCCGAGUGUAGAGGUGAAAUUCGUAGAUAUUCGGAGGAACACCAGUGGCGAAGGCGACUUUCUGGACUUUUACUGACGCUCAGGUACGAAAGCGUGGGGAGCAAACAGG
rnacentral:rRNA from 1 species